GACGAGCGCUGGCGGCGUGCUUAACACAUGCAAGUCGAACGGAAAGGCCCUGCUUUUGUGGGGUGCUCGAGUGGCGAACGGGUGAGUAACACGUGAGUAACCUGCCCUUGACUUUGGGAUAACUUCAGGAAACUGGGGCUAAUACCGGAUAGGAGCUCCUGCUGCAUGGUGGGGGUUGGAAAGUUUCGGCGGUUGGGGAUGGACUCGCGGCUUAUCAGCUUGUUGGUGGGGUAGUGGCUUACCAAGGCUUUGACGGGUAGCCGGCCUGAGAGGGUGACCGGCCACAUUGGGACUGAGAUACGGCCCAGACUCCUACGGGAGGCAGCAGUGGGGAAUAUUGCACUAUGGGCGGAAGCCUGAUGCAGCAACGCCGCGUGCGGGAUGACGGCCUUCGGGUUGUAAACCGCUUUCGCCUGUGACGAAGCGUGAGUGACGGUAAUGGGUAAAGAAGCACCGGCUAACUACGUG
rnacentral:rRNA from 1 species